AUCUACAGCCAUGCUACCCUGAACAAGCCCAAUCCCGUCUGAUCUUGGAAGCUAAGCAGGGUCGGGCCUGGUUAGUCCUUGGAUGGGAGACCACAUAGGAAGACCAGGUGCUGUAGGCG
rnacentral:rRNA from 1 species